CAGUCGCCGCGGUAAUACGUAGGUGGCAAGCGUUGUCCGGAAUUAUUGGGCGUAAAGGGCUCGCAGGCGGUUUCUUAAGUCUGAUGUGAAAGCCCCCGGCUCAACCGGGGAGGGUCAUUGGAAACUGGGAAACUUGAGUGCAGAAGAGGAGAGUGGAAUUCCACGUGUAGCGGUGAAAUGCGUAGAGAUAUGGAGGAACACCAGUGGCGAAGGCGACUUUCUGGUCUGUAACUGACGCUGAGGAGCGAAAGCGUGGGGAGCGAACAGGAUUAGAUACCCGGGUAGUCCCUGUCUCUUAUAC
rnacentral:rRNA from 1 species